rnacentral:rRNA from 1 species
AUGCCGAGCAAGGAAGGAGUGGCCAGCGCACCGGCUAGCAGUGGCAACAGUAUGGGCAGCUCUCGUGUGGGGGAUGCAUCUGGUGGUAGAGAUCAGCAACCUAGGGUGAGGGAUCUACCUACCAAGAGGAAUCUGGGCACCGAAUUCUCCCGUUCUGCUGAUAAUUGCACUGGCGAUAAGCAGGGUACUUGGGGGGAGGAGGUUAGGAGCCCAUAUAAAGACAGACGCAGCAAUGAAGUGGCAACGGAUCGGGACCUGCGGGACGAGCUGGAAUCCAGGCGUGAACAUGAUCUUCGCACAAAGCUGAUGGAUCAGCAGUCCAAAAGGAGUGAGGAUAUCCCGAGAGAUGCUGAAAGAGAGAGGAAGGGGAAAGAUAAGCUGCCGGAGUACUCGCAAAGUUACAUGCAGGAGGGUCGGGUUUGUCCAUCGGGUCAACCCGAUAUGCAUGGGAUGCAUGGGAGGCCAAGAGGCCGCUACGUCAGGAAACGGGAGCAGGACCAUGAUGGGAGGCAAAGGGAGGUAUUCAGCGAGCAUUAUGAAGGGGAGGGAAGGAAGAGGAGACCAAGACAGUGUUGGAAAUAUGCCCUAGAGGCAAUAAUAAAUAAGUUAUUAUUAUAUUUCCUUGUUCAUGAUAAUCGUUUAUUAUCCAUGCUAUAA